rnacentral:siRNA from 1 species
GACUCUGAAGCUUGCCAUCGAGUA